rnacentral:sRNA from 1 species
UCUUAGCCCUGACAGUAAUGAAAUUCCUAUAGUCCUUAACCCUAUUUUUUUCACGAAGAAAAGAGCGACCGCAGGAAGCUCCUUUUAUGACUUAUAAAAAAAGGAUUAAGAACUAGAGAUUGAAAUGUAUGGCGGGAAUAGCU